rnacentral:rRNA from 1 species
AGGUUAAGCGACUAAGCGUACACGGUGGAUGCCCUGGCAGUCAGAGGCGAUGAAGGACGUGCUAAUCUGCGAUAAGCGCCGGUAAGGUGAUAUGAACCGUUAUAACCGGCGAUUUCCGAAUGGGGAAACCCAGUGUGAUUCGUCACACUAUCAUUAACUGAAUCCAUAGGUUAAUGAGGCGAACCGGGGGAACUGAAACAUCUAAGUACCCCGAGGAAAAGAAAUCAACCGAGAUUCCCCCAGUAGCGGCGAGCGAACGGGGAGGAGCCCAGAGCCUGAAUCAGCAUGUGUGUUAGUGGAAGCGUCUGGAAAGGUGCGCGAUACAGGGUGACAGCCCCGUACACAAAAGCGCAUGUGCUGUGAGCUCGAUGAGUAGGGCGGGACACGUGGUAUCCUGUCUGAAUAUGGGGGGACCAUCCUCCAAGGCUAAAUACUCCUGACUGACCGAUAGUGAACCAGUACCGUGAGGGAAAGGCGAAAAGAACCCCGGCGAGGGGAGUGAAAAAGAACCUGAAACCGUGUACGUACAAGCAGUGGGAGCACAGGUUUACCUGUGUGACUGCGUACCUUUUGUAUAAUGGGUCAGCGACUUAUAUUCUGUAGCAAGGUUAACCGUAUAGGGGAGCCGUAGGGAAACCGAGUCUUAACCGGGCGUUAAGUUGCAGGGUAUAGACCCGAAACCCGGUGAUCUAGCCAUGGGCAGGUUGAAGGUUGGGUAACACUAACUGGAGGACCGAACCGACUAAUGUUGAAAAAUUAGCGGAUGACCUGUGGCUGGGGGUGAAAGGCCAAUCAAACCGGGAGAUAGCUGGUUCUCCCCGAAAGCUAUUUAGGUAGCGCCUCGUGAAUUCAUCUCCGGGGGUAGAGCACUGUUUCGGCUAGGGGGCCAUCCCGGCUUACCAACCCGAUGCAAACUGCGAAUACCGGAGAAUGUUAUCACGGGAGACACACGGCGGGUGCUAACGUCCGUCGUGAAGAGGGAAACAACCCAGACCGCCAGCUAAGGUCCCAAAGUCAUGGUUAAGUGGGAAACGAUGUGGGAAGGCCCAGACAGCCAGGAUGUUGGCUUAGAAGCAGCCAUCAUUUAAAGAAAGCGUAAUAGCUCACUGGUCGAGUCGGCCUGCGCGGAAGAUGUAACGGGGCUAAACCAUGCACCGAAGCUGCGGCAGCGAACGUAUCACCCAAGACAACUUUACGGAGUUGACGAUUGACGGAGCGAAGCGACGUCAAAGCGUUCAUUAAAGUCGAGUUGGCUUAGGGAUACGUUCGUUGGGUAGGGGAGCGUUCUGUAAGCCUGUGAAGGUGUGUCGUGAGGCAUGCUGGAGGUAUCAGAAGUGCGAAUGCUGACAUAAGUAACGAUAAAGCGGGUGAAAAGCCCGCUCGCCGGAAGACCAAGGGUUCCUGUCCAACGUUAAUCGGGGCAGGGUGAGUCGACCCCUAAGGCGAGGCCGAAAGGCGUAGUCGAUGGGAAACGGGUUAAUAUUCCCGUACUUGGUGUUACUGCGAAGGGGGGACGGAGAAGGCUAUGUUGGCCGGGCGACGGUUGUCCCGGUUUAAGCGUGUAGGUGUGUGUUCCAGGUAAAUCCGGUUCACUUUAACACUGAGGCGUGACGACGAGGCACUACGGUGCUGAAGCAACAAAUGCCCUGCUUCCAGGAAAAGCCUCUAAGCAUCAGGUAACAUCAAAUCGUACCCCAAACCGACACAGGUGGUCAGGUAGAGAAUACCAAGGCGCUUGAGAGAACUCGGGUGAAGGAACUAGGCAAAAUGGUGCCGUAACUUCGGGAGAAGGCACGCUGACACGUAGGUGAAGUGAUUUACUCAUGGAGCUGAAGUCAGUCGAAGAUACCAGCUGGCUGCAACUGUUUAUUAAAAACACAGCACUGUGCAAACACGAAAGUGGACGUAUACGGUGUGACGCCUGCCCGGUGCCGGAAGGUUAAUUGAUGGGGUCAGCGCAAGCGAAGCUCCUGAUCGAAGCCCCGGUAAACGGCGGCCGUAACUAUAACGGUCCUAAGGUAGCGAAAUUCCUUGUCGGGUAAGUUCCGACCUGCACGAAUGGCGUAAUGAUGGCCAGGCUGUCUCCACCCGAGACUCAGUGAAAUUGAACUCGCUGUGAAGAUGCAGUGUACCCGCGGCAAGACGGAAAGACCCCGUGAACCUUUACUAUAGCUUGACACUGAACAUUGAGCCUUGAUGUGUAGGAUAGGUGGGAGGCUUUGAAGUGUGGACGCCAGUCUGCAUGGAGCCGACCUUGAAAUACCACCCUUUAAUGUUUGAUGUUCUAACGUGGACCCGUAAUCCGGGUUGCGGACAGUGUCUGGUGGGUAGUUUGACUGGGGCGGUCUCCUCCUAAAGAGUAACGGAGGAGCACGAAGGUUGGCUAAUCCUGGUCGGACAUCAGGAGGUUAGUGCAAUGGCAUAAGCCAGCUUGACUGCGAGCGUGACGGCGCGAGCAGGUGCGAAAGCAGGUCAUAGUGAUCCGGUGGUUCUGAAUGGAAGGGCCAUCGCUCAACGGAUAAAAGGUACUCCGGGGAUAACAGGCUGAUACCGCCCAAGAGUUCAUAUCGACGGCGGUGUUUGGCACCUCGAUGUCGGCUCAUCACAUCCUGGGGCUGAAGUAGGUCCCAAGGGUAUGGCUGUUCGCCAUUUAAAGUGGUACGCGAGCUGGGUUUAGAACGUCGUGAGACAGUUCGGUCCCUAUCUGCCGUGGGCGCUGGAGAACUGAGGGGGGCUGCUCCUAGUACGAGAGGACCGGAGUGGACGCAUCACUGGUGUUCGGGUUGUCAUGCCAAUGGCACUGCCCGGUAGCUAAAUGCGGAAGAGAUAAGUGCUGAAAGCAUCUAAGCACGAAACUUGCCCCGAGAUGAGUUCUCCCUGAGACUUAGAGUCUCCUGAAGGAACGUUGAAGACGACGACGUUGAUAGGCCGGGUGUGUAAGCGCAGCGAUGCGUUGAGCUAACCGGUACUAAUGAACCGUGAGGCUUAACCUUACAACGCCGA